rnacentral:ncRNA from 1 species
UUGUUACGACAGGGGCGUCCCACCGCAGGGGCUGAGAUCUCGCUAGCGCGGGGAACCCUCCGAACCUGAUUGCGGGUCAUGCCGUCGAAGGGAGUCGCUCGGAGGGGGAA